GGAGGAGCCGCGGGGCGGUGGGCCGCAGCCCCCGGGCGGGAGUAGGCGGUUCCCCUGGGGCUUGGCGCUCCAGGGGCGACGUGAGGAGCUGAGUUGGUUAGUUGGGUGAGGAGGCUUUCACGGUGUUCUGCACGCGGCUGCCUUUGGAGUUUGCUAAAACGAUGGUGGAGAAAUUUCGGGUAGUGUCAGGCCACAGGAGCUGUUGGAAGCGCGGUGCCUCUUUAAUGCACCUGAGCUCUUCUUGAAGCAAACAAGCAGGCGGGAAGCAGUGUGCGUCCCUCUCCAGCGCUCCGGUUAAGAAAGAGGCACAAGUUUCUGGAGUGAUCCUGAGGAGAACUUUUGGGUGUCUUCAAGAACUCGCCAGGUGGAUAGCAAGGCUCUUCGUUCCAGCUUCACUUUUGAACAGAUGGCUCUCCUGUGCGUCAGAUGGAAGAACUCCUAGAGCUGUCCUCCUGUUCGGCAGCCCCUAUUAAGCUUGGUUCUGGCACCCACAUAGAACGCAGGUGGCGAGAGGUGGAGGCAGGCACAGAGAAGAGUUUGAUCCUCUUGAAGUAGAUGACUACCAGAUUUGUAGUCCAGCCUCAAUACCUCUCCCAGAACAGAACAUGAGAGACUCCUAACUCUGGGAAAUGAACUAGGGGUGGUGGAAGGGG